AAUCUCCUCUUUCUGCCUACCUGUUGCUACUUAAUCAACUGUGUAGUUCUGGUGCAGGAGUAUAACAAUCUGCCAUGCACCGCUGGUCUCUCUUACCUCUGAGGUCAGUGGCCAUGGUUGGUGGCCUUUCAGGCAAGGUACAGAGAUUCUUUUGUGAAUUUCUUUGCUUGGGGGCCUAUAUGUAA
rnacentral:snoRNA from 1 species